rnacentral:rRNA from 1 species
CCACAAGGGGUGAAGCCUGCGGUUCAAUUGGAGUCAACGCCAGGAAACUUACCAGGAGAGACAGCAGGUUGAGGGUCAGUCUGAAGAACUUACCUGACGAGCUGAGAGGAGGUGCAUGGCCGUCGCCAGCUCGUGCCGUGAGGCGUCCUGUUAAGUCAGGCAACGAGCGAGACCCCUAUCAGUAAUUGCUAACUGCCCAGAGAUGGGUAGAGGCUAGUUACAGAGACUGCCGUUGAUAAAACGGAGGAAGGAAGGGGCCACGGCAGGUCAGUAUGCCCCGAAACUCCUGGGCCACACGCGGGCUGCAAUGGUAGGGACAAUAGGUUCCGACCUCGAAAGAGGAAGGCAAUCCCCAAACCCUACCCCAGUUGUGAUCGAGGAUUGAAACCCGUCCUCGUGAAUAUGGAAUCCCUAGUAACCGCGUGUCAUCACCGCGCGGUGAAUACGUCCCUGCUCCUUGU